UGUUACGUAGUAAUGCGACUGUGAGCAAAUAGAUGACUGUGAGAGAGGCUAUGAAUGCUGCGUUUGAUGAGGAAAUGUCUGCAGAUCCUAGAGUCUUUCAAUGUGUCUAAAGGUUCUUUUCUUUGGCAGAAGUAUGGACCUGAGAGCGUUGUUCAUACUGCUAUCACAGAGGCUGGUUUCACUGGAGUUGAAGUCGGUGCUGCUUUCUAUGGUCUCAAGUCUGUCGUGGAGUUUAUGACAUUCAAUUUUGCUAUGCAGGUGAUUGAACACGUUAUAAAUUCUGCUGCAAAGAUGAACUGCAUGUUGACUGGUAAUAUAACAGUCCCUACAGUUUCAAGAGGAGCUGUAGCAGGAGUCGGUGCCUUACACUCCCAUGCCCUGUGAAGAUGUCGCCAUCCCACCUGAAGGAAGCUUUACUGGAUCCGGCCUCGUUAGAUCACUUGUCACCCUCAGGGUCUAUAAAAGGCAGGAAUUGUCCGUGAUGUGCAAAAUGAGAGUUGCUCAUGAACGGCGUAACAUCUCCGGUAUGUCCCUCCAACCGGAGUUCUUCCUCAUCCUCUGCCUUUUCCAGAUUUGCAGUCACCAAUUUCUUAAUGCAGUGUGUUAGUUGCAUUAUUUGAAGGCCUUGUCGUCAAAGAGUGGAUAGGCUGCGUGGUUGCAAAUCUAAUUGGCAUUUACUCAAGUCUCCUUUUCAGUUGAUAAUAUGAGGCCUCAGAAAGCUUCACGUCUCCUUCGUCCUUUUCCUGCCUUCUUUUGUUUGAAAGGGUAAGCAAUCAUUCGCAAAUUCUGGACAUGCUUGUCUUGUUCCGAAGUAGUAAUUGCUUUUGCUAUUGAAUGACACUCUUUGCCCUCAUGAACUUUGAUCGGUGACCUAUCGUUGAACCGCUAUUCUUUAAAUCAGUCCAUGAUUCAGUCAUGCCAAAUUCGAUUUGUUUAUUACAUGCUCUGGUAUUCUAGGGGUUGAAUGAAUUCUUAUUUGGGUCUGCUUUGCUUCAUGGUUAUUAAUAUCAAUAUUAUGUGUUGCUUUAUUCUGUAAUAAUGCGGUGUAGGAAAUUGGUGAACUCCUUAAGCUCCCUCCUAGGCAACAUCGUCAUUGAUGAUAGGCUGUUUGGGGCAUUUGUUUCUCUUGUAUACAUGUUUCUAGUGACAUCAGAUUAACUUAAAGACUUUGGAAAUACAGAUAAUGGAGAUCCAAGGAAGUAUCUUUGUGGAUUUUUAAGCUGCUUUUGAUGUGAAAUUGAGGUCUUGGAAUUUGACAUUUGUUGAUUCACUUUCGAUCGAUGCUAGAUUCAAUGCAUUUAUCAUUUUUUUCCUUCUCUUCUUUUAAAUGGUGAUGUUGUCGCUGCAGGAUUCGCCAUCAGGGUUGCUGCAAAACCCAAGUAUCAAAUCAGAUGAGUUGUAUGAGAAUUGUUUUGUAGCUCAUUCCAGUGGCUUCACACGCAAACCAUAGUGAUUCCUGAUCUUAUGUCUAGGGCUGGAUUAUUUUAUCCAAUUUUAUGCGGAAUCUGUAACUCUUGAAUUAUUCUGCCACCCUUUAAGGAACGUAUCCAUGGUGGAAAUGAAAUCUCAUAGGAUUUUCACUUUUUAGCUUUAACCAGCUGGUGUCUCAUUGUCUUGAUCUGGGCUUCUAGCUACACUUUUUCAUCAUCAUUUCUCGAUAUGUAAAUUAUGUAUAUUUAGAAAUGUUAAGUGAUGCAAUUACUUUUGGAGCUAGCUUUAGAACGAAUCAUGUGAUACUUUAGCCUUUCAAAUUCCUGGUUAAGCCCUUUCCAGUU